rnacentral:rRNA from 1 species
UACGUAGGGGGCGAGCGUUGUCCGGAAUUAUUGGGCGUAAAGAGCGUGUAGGCGGUUCGGUAAGUCUGCCGUGAAAACCUGGGGCUCAACCCCGGGCGUGCGGUGGAUACUGGCGAUCUAGAGUGCGGUAGAGGGCAGUGGAAUUCCCGGUGUAGCAGUGAAAUGCGUAGAUAUCUGGAGGAACACCGGUGGCGAAGGCGGCAUCCUGGACCGGCAUUGACGCUGAGGCGCGAAAGCCAGGGGAGCAAACGGG